UUUAAUGUAUGCCAAUUUCUAUCUGUUGGUUCUAUUUGUUUGUGGGUUUGUGAUGUUUUCUGCCUUAUCAUUUCCUUAUAUUGAAAAACGUUACGAAUGUACUAUUGUGAUGUCAAGACCCAAAACAUGUAUAAGAAACUACACGUCAAGACAGAGGCUAUUGUGAUGUCAAGACCCAAAACAUGUAUAAGAAACUACACGUCAAGACAGAGGCUAGACGAAAAGAUGCGAGAUGGUUAAAGACUAUUUUUUAUUCAAGACUUUUUUGUUUUCAGUUAUUAGAUGACAAGAUGUGGUGAGCAGAUUGGAAAUAAAGAACGAUUGUCUCCAUGCCUUGGCUGCCAUAUGAGGGUGAAAACUCAUGUCAAACAAACUUGGUAAGGAAAGAAACUGGAAAUGUUGGAUGAAGGCAGGGGCAGGACUGGCUUGUCGACGCAGGUAAGCAAAGGAACUGGAAGUAAUAAGUAUUGGACACAAGCGGGCACAAAUUUUGGAAUUAAGCUCCAAUAAAGGUAUUGAGUUUAUAAUUAACCCAUCGAAAUAUUGCUAUUUUCGACCUUAGAUAAAAAAAAUUUCCAAAUUUAUGAGUUGCCUUUUUUUUUUUCCACUAAUCUAUUUAUGUCAUUUGCUCAAUGACUAAAUUUUCACGAAGUUUUGAAAUGGAUGAAAUUAACACUUUAAAUUCGUUAUAGGUGGACCGUGUUUGGUUUCGGUAUUAGUACUACGUAUACAUGUUUUU